CCCCUCUCAAGGUCACACCUGGGGAGUUUCCAGUACUCUACCAGUCUCAGCUGUGGGAGGGAGAAUCAAGCAGAGGCCUACCCAUUCCAUUCCUAGUUUGGCCAGUGGCUAGCGAGUGGAAGGCCAUCGGCUACAAGU
rnacentral:snoRNA from 1 species